AACAGCUCACAUACAGAGCUUCUGCCUCAAAGGACCACUCAUUGAAGCAGAAAUAAAAAAGGAAUAUAAAGACAGGGGAGUGAUCAGAAGACGAAUAGUGGGUCAGACUUUGUUUCAGGUUUGAUUGUAUAUUUACGUAUUUGUCUAAAUUGACAGGAUUGACUAUCAGAAACAGGGAAUAUAGGCCUAUAUGACAACUUAGCGAAGUAUUUUUAUUAUGUAAUUCUAUUGACACUAAAGGACUAGGGUGGGGAUUCAGUACAAGACUCGAGUGUAAAUUGCCUUUAAAUUACCUUUACUGUAAAUGAUCAACUCAACUACCUUGCUAUGCAAUUGGGAAAAUGCAAUGUUAAUAAAAUGUUAGUGUUAUUACAGCGGCAUAAGUGUUAACAGUAAUAUUAACAAAACUAAAUAUAAGACUAAGUAUCUACGGGAAUAUCUAAACACGGCCUUGUUGAAUCGACUACAGCCAAGGUACCAGUAGGUGGAAAAUAAUGUUAAUUUGUAUUUGAUGAAAAUAUCCCUUUAGUUGGUAUGAUGUGUAUGUUUGAAACUUAUUUGUAUUUGAGCUCAAGCAGUAGAAAAUGUUAAGUGCCGGUACUCAGCUCUGGUGAGCUCCUACACAAGUCAAGCACUGUGAAUUUUGACAGUGGAACUACAUUUUACAUUUUGGAUAUACAGUGCCUCUAGAAAGUCUACAACCCCCUUGGAUUUAUUCAAAUUUGAUUGCGUUACAAAGUGGGAUUAAAAUGGAUUUGAUUGCCAUUUUUUUGUCAAUGAGCCACACUAAAUAUUCUGUAAAGACAAAGUGGAAAAAUUCUAACAUUUUUUGAAGAUUCAUGAAAAUGUUAUAACUAAAAUAUAGUAGUUUCAUAAGAGGGGCUAGAUACAUAAAAUGCUUUUAUUUCUAAAUGGAAAAACAGAUACAGUGCAUUCAGAAAGUAUUCAGACCCCUUGACUUUUCCACAUUUUGUUACAUUACAUCCUUAUUCUAAAUUGAUAAAAAAAAAUUAUUUACUGUGUGUAGAUUGAUGAGGGAAAAAACCCAUUUAAUCCAUUUUAGAAUAAUACCCCAUAAUGACAAAGCAAAAACAGUUGUUUUUUUGUGUGCAAAUGUAUUAAAAAUAAAUAACGGAAAUAUCACAUUUACAUAUGUACUCAGACCGUUUACUCAGUACUUUGUUAAACUACCGCCUCAAGUCUUCUUGAGUAUGACGCUACAAGCUUGGCACACCUGUAUUUGGGGAGUUUCUCCCAUUCAUCUCUACAGAUCCUCUCAAGUUCCGUCGGGUGUUUUCUUGCGAACAUAUCCGAAAAGGAAGAUGGGUCUCUAAUGAAAUAUUCAACAUGGUGGAGGAAUGUUGGUGACCUGCAACACAACACAAGUCCCACAGGGAAACUACUGGGGUAGAUUGCUGAGAACAUCAACAGAUAUGUAUUUUUAGAUAGGCCUAAUCUCAUCUCCGUCUUUAGAGGCAUUAGGAAAAACCUUCAUCUGAAUCAUUUUGUUGCACUAAGAAACAAGGAAAUAGUGAAUGCGUUGAUCGAUAUCUUCAUCAAAUGUGGUAUGCUAUUCUAAGCUCUAGUAUAUUCUCUAUCAACAUUCAAGUAUCAAUGAAGCAUGGAUGGAUUUAUAAAAUGUCAAUAGCCAGUAAUGAAAUGAGAAUCCAUUCUCGGUAACAGGACAGUGCAAAAAAAUAUGACUAUUUACAAUUAUUUAGCAAAUUAAGAAGAAGAUUUAUGAAAUGGAGAUGUAUUGCACAUAUCAUUUGAUUUGAAAUAGAUCCUUUCCUCCUCUGAGUCUUGUGCUUUCAUACAGUAGGUCUGUCUGAGACAUCAUGGAGGGUAACAACAGAAAACAGAGAGAAAGAUUAGAAGAAAGAUCCCCAGAGACGUCUCCUAUGACGGUUCCGGUAACCCAGCCACGCUCCUCAAUGUUCUCCUGCUGUUUGGGGAUGGCAUCUGAUGAACCUGUAGGCGACCCAGCUAGUAAUGUAACACAAGGCUCUAUUAUGAAGCAGCCCACCAGACAGUCUUAUGUCAACAACCCAGACACCAGCGGACGCAUAAUACGAUUGGAGAAUACUGAGCUGCAAAUGUUUCCCACUGGUGCCAUGAGGUCGAACAACACCCCACAACCAGGGCAACCAGAGCCUUCUAAUAAGAUGAAGAAUAAAAGAGGGGACCAAGAUGGAAGGAAGGAGCUCAACCAGGGGUCCAGUCAGAAGCAGAACCAGGAUCAAAAGAUCAAGUUUCUGAUCAAUGUGCCCAUGAGGGUCCCACUACUUAACAACAACCGACUGGACCAAAUCCAGUCACAGGUUCAAAGGUUACUGAAGUUGUUGGAGGAUACAGGAUUUAAGGAGGAAGAUGAGGAGCACCUGAAAGAUGUGGCCAUCAUCAUUGGCCUCAAUGGCAAAGAUUCUCCUGAGCUCAGGGGACAGCUGACAAUGCUGAUGAACAUGGAGGAGAAUACGGUAUUGAAGUUUAAAAAGAUUUCAUUUACCUGGGGACCCAAUGGUAACAUUAAAUAUGUAGACAGUAUAAAUAAAAUAAAAGGUAUACCAUAUACGGAUAUCAGAGAAUAUCUAAAAGAUCAUGAAGAAACUAAACAGCUUGUUAGAGAGUUGAGAGGAGAGGAUCCUGACGCUCUGAUCUAUUUCAGUUUUAUUGACGCUGAUACUGUAAACUUUAACCAAGUUUACAGCUCUUAUUUAGAGAUAGUCAGAAAGCACUCUAACACUCACUCUGGCAUCCCCCCAACGGUGAUGUCAACAGGCUAUGAGUUUCCGGACAGGGCUUUUAAGAGGCCAAGCCAGGUUGACAGAGCAAUUCGAGUUGAGACAGCAAAACACUUUCCUCUAGGCACAUACUAUCCAGAGCCCAACUUCUGUGUUUUACUCCUAAAGGGGGAGGACACACUAACAGAGAGCUUUCUUGGAAAAGACAAAACAAUGGAGUCGCCAAAAAUUAUCAAAAAAGUUAAGGAGCGUGAACAAUUCACAGCAGUCUUUACCGCUGACAAUCCCAUAAUUACCUCUGUUCCAGCAAGGUGUCAAAUAAAUAAGGAUGGCCUGACAACUGCUCAAUCACAUUUUAAUCCUAGAGUUUGGGCAACAAGUGCAUACAUCCAUGGUGAGAUAAAGAGUGAACUAAAGGGCCAAGGAAGUUUUGGUAAAACAAGACGAUUAUUGAUGGAACUGUUGACUUGUCCAGAUGAGAAAUUUGAGGACAAGUGUAAAGAACUUCCUGUGGUAAAUGAUGAUGCAUUUCUGAGCCUGUGUAAGGCAGCUGGUGAGGUCCGAGAAUACAGAAAGAAAGUGAGGGGGUAUGCGAACCAACAGGAUAAGAGGAGUCCGGCAGAGAGCAGAGCAAAACAACCAGAGAUGUAACGCAUACCAAUUCAUGGCACUUCUAAAGCCUAGACUUAUGUUGACAUAAAAAUCUGUAGCCUUACUUUUGUUACGACUUUUAUUUUGCCGUAAUGUAUUGAGACACUGUUUGUAGCCUGGGGACUUUUAUUUUGAAAGCGAUAAUAUUCCCAGAGGCACCUUUGAGAGAGUGUGGAGAAAAAGACACAGAGUGGAUGUUGAUGACUGCGUGGCUGUAUGUCUUGGUCCAGAGUAAUUCAACUACACGUAACAGUUUUCCUUUGUAGCCCGUGUGUUAUUUUUACUGCCAAUCCACAAGUCCUCUGUUGGAGGUAGUGUUUAAUACCUAAAAGUAGAAAUAAGAGUUAUUCCACAAGUCCUCUGUUGGAGGUAGUGUUUAAUACCUACAAGUAGAAGUAAGAGUUAUUCCACAAGUCCUCUGUUGGAGGUAGUGUUUAAUACCUACAAGUAGAAAUAAGAGUUAUACAAAUCUAUCCAAUCCACAAGUCCUCUGUUGGAGGUAGUGUUUAAUACCUACAAGCAGAAAUAAGGGUUAUACAAAUCUAUCCAAUCCACAAGUCCUCUGUUGGAGGUAGUGUUUAAUACCUACAAGUAGAAAUAAGAGUUAUACAAAUCUAUCCAAUCCACAAGUCCUCUGUUGGAGGUCGUGUUUAAUACCUACAAGUAGAAAUAAGAGUUAUUCCACAAGACCUCUGUUGGAGGUCGUGUUUAAUACCUACAAGUAGAAGUAAGAGUUAUUCCACAAGUCCUCUGUUGGAGGUAGUGUUUAAUACCUACAAGUAGAAAUAAGAGUUAUACAAAUCUAUCCAAUCCACAAGUCCUCUGUUGGAGGUAGUGUUUAAUACCUACAAGUAGAAAUAAGAGUUAUACAAAUCUAUCCAAUCCACAAGUCCUCUGUUGGAGGUAGUGUUUAAUACCUACAAGCAGAAAUAAGGGUUAUACAAAUCUAUCCAAUCCACAAGUCCUCUGUUGGAGGUAAUGUUUAAUACCUACAAGUAGAAAUAAGAGUUAUACAAAUCUAUCCAAUCCAGAAUAAGAAUGUCAUUUCCAAACAAGACAUAAACUCAAAUGUUGCUAAAUGACCUGGAUGAAUCUCUAGUCGUACACAACUAUGGGUGUAACCAUUUGUGCCAGAAUACUCACCAGACAUCAGCUUUAAUGGUGUAGAGGUGAGGAGUGAAAUACAGUAUAAAACAAUUAGGAAUUGACGGGUAUAAUAAGUUAUUCAUGAAACAAAGGUUAAAUCACUUACAGUUACAAUAAGUGCCAUGGAAGUUUAAUGACCACAGUCAGGACAUCUGUUUAAUGUCCCAUCUGAAAGGCUGCACCUAAUGCAGGGCAAUGUCCCUGUCACUGCCCCUGGGCAUUGGGAACUCCUUAGACCAGAGGGAAGAGUGCCCCCUACUGGCCCUCCAACACCACUUCCAGCCUACUGUAUACAUAUUAGUUGUGUCCUAUAUAAUUGCUCCAUUCAACACAUAGCACUAAAGAGCGAUUGAAACACACUACAGUGUGAUUGAAAUGUACAUUUCCAAUUGAGUGGAUAUAUGCAGCCUUUACCGUGAACACAGUCUCCACAAACAUGGGAACAUGGCUGUUUUCCAUUUGAACAUGCAUGUAGGGUAGAUAGGGUUUGAUGGAGGAGUAGAGACACUUGUCUGACUGUGACUGCAUGACUGCUCUUCAGGCUGUGAUGAGAUUCAUAUGUACUUUAUCACUGAAUACUUUGUUGUGAACCUUUUCGUUUUAAUCAUAAGUAAUAUUAAUAAAGAGUUGUUGAUAUAAUACAGUGAUAUAUAGCAUGAAUGGAAAACACCUUUUAGUUUGAACUAAUCAUAAUGCCAGGCCAGAACUAACCAUUUUAUAAAACUAUAGAAAGAUAUCCUAUGUAAUGGUAACACUUGUGGUUAAGUACUGUAACAAUAUGUACCUACACUGUCAUUUUAUAACCAUCACAUGUAUGUUCUAACUAUCAUUAUAACCAUCACAUGUAUGUUCUAUCAUUAUUGUCACGCCCUGGUCUUAGUAUUUUGUGUUUUUCUUAUUUAUUUGGUCAGGCCAGGGUGUGACAUGGGUUUAUUUUGUGUUGUGUUUAUGUAUAGGGUUUUUUUCGUAGGUAUUGGGAUUGUGGCUGAGUAGGGGUGUCUAGCAUAGUCUAUGGCUGCCUGAGGCGGUUCUCAAUCAGAGUCAGGUGAUUCUCGUUGUCUCUGAUUGGGAACCAUAUUUAGGUAGCCUGGGUUUCACUGUGUGUUUUGUGGGUGAUUGUUCCUGUCUCAGUGUGUUGGUAUUCACCAGACAGGCUGUAUAGGUUUUCACAUUUCCGUUUGUUGUUUUUGUAUUGUUCGUUUUCAUCGUUAUUAAAGAUGUCUCGAUUUAACCACGCUGCAUUUUGGUCCGACUCUCCUUCGACGGAAGCCGUAACAAUUAUAACCAUCACAUGUAUGUUCUAACUAUCAUUAUAACCAUCACAUGUAGGUUCUAUCAUUAUAACCAUCACAUGUAUGUUCUAUCAUUAUAACCAUCACAUGUAUGUUCUAUCAUUAUAACCAUCACAUGUAUGUUCUAUCAUUAUAACCAUCACAUGUAUGUUCUAUCAUUAUAACCAUCACAUGCAUGUUCUAACUAUCAUUAUAACCAUCACAUGUAUGUUCUAUCAUUAUAACCAUCACAUGUAUGUUCUAACUAUCAUUAUAACCAUCACAUAUUAUGAUCAGUAAUCACAUAAUUAAGUUUUGACAUUUGAUUUGAUGAUUUCACUAUAUGUGUCUAUGUCAGUUUUUGCCUGCCUCAUAAUAAAC
ensembl:lncRNA